rnacentral:rRNA from 1 species
UACGUAGGGUGCGAGCGUUGUCCGGAAUUAUUGGGCGUAAAGAGCUUGUAGGCGGUUUGUCGCGUCUGCCGUGAAAAUUCGAGGCUCAACCUCGAACUUGCGGUGGGUACGGGCAGACUAGAGUGUGGUAGGGGAGACUGGAAUUCCCGGUGUAGUGGUGAAAUGCGUAGAUAUCGGGAGGAACACCAGUGGCGAAGGCGACUUCCUGGCCUGUUCUUGACGCUGAGGCGCGAAAGCUAGGGUAGCAAACGGG